GAUGAACGCUGGCGGCGUGCCUAAUACAUGCAAGUCGAGCGAACGGACGAGAAGCUUGCUUCUCUGAUGUUAGCGGCGGACGGGUGAGUAACACGUGGAUAACCUACCUAUAAGACUGGGAUAACUUCGGGAAACCGGAGCUAAUACCGGAUAAUAUUUUGAACCGCAUGGUUCAAAAGUGAAAGACGGUCUUGCUGUCACUUAUAGAUGGAUCCGCGCUGCAUUAGCUAGUUGGUAAGGUAACGGCUUACCAAGGCAACGAUGCAUAGCCGACCUGAGAGGGUGAUCGGCCACACUGGAACUGAGACACGGUCCAGACUCCUACGGGAGGCAGCAGUAGGGAAUCUUCCGCAAUGGGCGAAAGCCUGACGGAGCAACGCCGCGUGAGUGAUGAAGGUCUUCGGAUCGUAAAACUCUGUUAUUAGGGAAGAACAUAUGUGUAAGUAACUGUGCACAUCUUGACGGUACCUAAUCAGAAAGCCACGGCUAACUACGUGCCAGCAGCCGCGGUAAUACGUAGGUGGCAAGCGUUAUCCGGAAUUAUUGGGCGUAAAGCGCGCGUAGGCGGUUUUUUAAGUCUGAUGUGAAAGCCCACGGCUCAACCGUGGAGGGUCAUUGGAAACUGGAAAACUUGAGUGCAGAAGAGGAAAGUGGAAUUCCAUGUGUAGCGGUGAAAUGCGCAGAGAUAUGGAGGAACACCAGUGGCGAAGGCGACUUUCUGGUCUGUAACUGACGCUGAUGUGCGAAAGCGUGGGGAUCAAACAGGAUUAGAUACCCUGGUAGUCCACGCCGUAAACGAUGAGUGCUAAGUGUUAGGGGGGUUCCGCCCCUUAGUGCUGCAGCUAACGCAUUAAGCACUCCGCCUGGGGAGUACGACCGCAAGGUUGAAACUCAAAGGAAUUGACGGGGACCCGCACAAGCGGUGGAGCAUGUGGUUUAAUUCGAAGCAACGCGAAGAACCUUACCAAAUCUUGACAUCCUUUGACAACUCUAGAGAUAGAGCCUUCCCCUUCGGGGGACAAAGUGACAGGUGGUGCAUGGUUGUCGUCAGCUCGUGUCGUGAGAUGUUGGGUUAAGUCCCGCAACGAGCGCAACCCUUAAGCUUAGUUGCCAUCAUUAAGUUGGGCACUCUAAGUUGACUGCCGGUGACAAACCGGAGGAAGGUGGGGAUGACGUCAAAUCAUCAUGCCCCUUAUGAUUUGGGCUACACACGUGCUACAAUGGACAAUACAAAGGGCAGCGAAACCGCGAGGUCAAGCAAAUCCCAUAAAGUUGUUCUCAGUUCGGAUUGUAGUCUGCAACUCGACUACAUGAAGCUGGAAUCGCUAGUAAUCGUAGAUCAGCAUGCUACGGUGAAUACGUUCCCGGGUCU
rnacentral:rRNA from 1 species